rnacentral:rRNA from 1 species
AAAAAGCAACCAGAUUCAACGGCCGCGGUAUCCUAACCGUGCGAAGGUAGCGUAAUCACUUGUUCUUUAAUUGAGGAAUGAACGGCCCCACGAGGACUACACUGUCUCCUUUUUCUAAUCAGUGAAACUGAUCUCCUCGUGAAGAAGCGAGAAAUNUAUAAGACGAGAAGACCCUAUGGAGCUUUAAACNACCGGGAUACUUGCUCUGAAAACUAAACUAAGCAUCUUACCCCUAGUUUUAGGUUGGGGUGACCACGGAGAAAAAAUCAACCUCCACGCUGUAAACAUCUCUAAGCAUCAACACAUUGACUCYAUUGACCCAAUAAUUUGAUCAACGAACCAAGUUACCCUAGGAUACAGCGCAAUCUACUUUAGAGCUCAUAUCGACAAGUAGGUUACGACCUCNAUGUGGAUCAGGGUAUCUCUAUG